GGAAAACAGCAAGAUUAAUUCCAAGAAAAAUCAUACAUCAAUUAGACAUACAAGGGAUCAUUCAUGCAAAAUUUCAAGUGAUUUGGAUAAGAGGAAGCAUGUGAACAAAAAUCAUACAUUUGCAUAUCAUUGGUGUGACACAAAUUGUCACACCCUAAUUCAAAAAUCCAUAUCUAUCAAACCACAAAUGAGAAAUCCACAAACUUUAUAUGGAAAUGAAGAUCAAUGUGUCUAGUUUUACCACAAAAAAUU
rnacentral:lncRNA from 1 species